ensembl:lncRNA
CAUAUGCAUAAUUUCAAUGAAGAACACAUUUUGUGAUGCCAAAAUGCACGAAAUAGGCAUUAUUUAAGAAAUCUGUUCUUAAUCUUUCAUGCGAUUAUGAAUUUCCACAGCUUUUAGCGGUGAUAUAGUACAUAAAAGAGUGAUCUCAGGCACUGAAAUGAUUAGAACAUUAUUAGUGUUUUCAUAUUUUUGCUUGUUUUUCAGUUCCUUUCUUUCUUUUUCUACCUACUGUAUAUUUUUUUUGCCUUGAUUGUUGCGUCUUUUUUUUCUGAUGGAAUUUCUCCUGAACCAGAGCGACUCUCUGCUUCUUGAUGACUUUGAAACAGCAAGGUUUUUUCUGAGUCGCAGCCGGUAAAGCAGCUUUCUCUCUAGGGGUCUUCAAACUGUUAACUCCCCCCAUAAACUCACACUCCAACCCAUCUACUCCUUUACCAGGUCUUGAUUCACUGACUCACCAGUGCCCCUUGUGUUUUUUUUCACAUGAUGUUUAACUCCACAGGCUCAAAUACAUAAAGGCAUGCAGCAUUGAAUGUAUUUGGACAUUAAUAACUGACACAAAAAGUGUUUUUCUUUGGCUGGCAAAACUGUUUUGUGCAGAACAAUUCCUAUUGUAGAUCAAAAUAUGUAAAUAACCUGUGUUAUGAUUAUCCUCCUAUGCUGCACUCUUGCAUCUCUAAAUCACCCCCUCCUAUAAUACUUGAUGUGUAGCAAACAUGUAACAUUCUCUAUGCUGCAACCUCCUAUGGCACUCUUCGUUUGUAGACAUUGGAGCAGAAAUGCACUGAUGCAUUUAGCACAAAAUGUAUUCUGAACAAUAGAAACACUAGAACUAUUUUUGAUGCACAGUUUGAAAUAACAUCACAAAGAAAAACACAUUUAUAGUAUAUCAGUAAACAGCAGUGGGCUGGUAUCCGAUAUGUGUUCACAAACGAUGUGUUUUAGGCUUCCCCGUCAACGCGUGGCUCGGAGAGCAUUAGAUCACCUCACAGACGUAGAAGGGAACAGAACACACUCUCCAGAAUCUUCAACCUGGGAGAAAGCCGAUCUCGCUCUCCACCCAAACGCUGGAGCACCAUCUUCUGAGCCCUUGUCCAACCAGAAAAACACCAAGAUGGAAGAGAGUGAAAUGGAUGAAAAGCAAAAACUUGAGAGGGAGGAUCUCUGCCCUUUAGAUUCACAAGUCGCAGCAAGUUUAACAGACUAACAUUGGCCAUCUUCGCUUCCAAGAUAGAGAUACAAUCCAAGUAUCUGUUGUUACAUGCCUGCAGGGUUUUAUAAGCAUGUGUGAACUGUAUGUGUGCAAAACUGCUGCAAUAAUUGUCAAUGGUCAGGAGAUGUGAUAGUUGAACGUCUAGUUGCUAUAUUGGAAGUCUCCCUCCAAAAUUUAGUUAGAAAAUGUCCAAGAGGAUCAUCAUCCCUCAGAAAUGCAGAUUAACCAAGAGGUUUGAUUAUUAGUCUUAAUUGACCAAACUAGACAGACUAUUUCUUUGUUUGAACCAUUAAACAUUAAAGUAAGAUAUCAUGGCCAUCAAGACCCCAUUAUUUUAUCAUUCUGAAUUCACUUCAGAUGCAUCUUACACAGUGGGUUGCUUGUGUGCUAUCGAGCAUUUGAUGUGUGACAUUAGUCCUUGUUCUACAGUGAAGAAGACUCCAUGGUUGAGAUCAGUGUUCAGCCUCAGUGAUGUGCAGUGUAUUUGUGGAUAUUAGCGUUAAUUGUGGUCCUUGUGUUGUGUUAUAUAUUGGUUAUUUCCUUUGUACCAAGAACUAUGUACUGUAUAUAGGAUUCUUUAUUGUGUUUUGAGCAACAUAAAAAAAUGACGACCAAUUAACAUUUCCCUAAUAUUAAAUUUGAUUUAUUUCAGUAAUUUUUUAGCUCUUUUAUUAGAAACAUGCCUUAAAAUUAUUAAUCAAAGACUAAAAACAUGAUUUUGUGGAAUAGCGUAUAGAUUCUAAGCAUAUCUGAUGCUUGGAUUGUAUACCCUCAGAUGUUCAACUGCACUAUGUGUGUUAAAACAGCCUGUAAAUGUUGUCUGCGUCAUUACGUCUGCAAUUUUGAUGUUAUUUUAAAAAGGUCUCAUGUGAUUACCAGGGGAAGGAUUAAUAUUUAAAUAACAGACGUGCAGAAAUCUAGGACAGUCACUGGGAGCAUAAAGGGUAUGAAACCGGUGGAAGGAAACCUGAAAGUGUAUGAGGGAUAAUGUGAGAAAUUAUAAGGAAUUCUGAAAGAGUGAGGAGGAGUUUAUUCAGCUGAUUUUUAUUUCUGUGAUGUUUCUCACAUGUCUUAAUGAUGUUCAUUGUUUCGUGUCUCAUAGACUCUUCCUGUAUGUACUGUUUCUGAAAUACUGCUGAAUAAACAUUAGGUCAAAUAUUCUCCCUGUCAGCGCUGGAUUUGUCUCCAAAAUGGUGCUACAAGUGUUCAUGAUGUAAUCUCUUUAACCCUCCCUUUAUUUAUAUAGUAACUUAAAUAAAGAUUCAGAAAUGUAUGUAGUCUGUGUUUGAUUGUGUGUAUGUUCAUCCUUUGAUGUUCUCAAAAAUCAGUUUCUCUGUCUUUCUCUUAUUAAGAGUUGUAUGUUUCUUUCUUUCUUUCUUUGUUAAAACGCU